CCUUUGGAUGUAACAGAGGCCAGGGCGUUUGAAUUUGUAGUGCAAAAAUUGCUGAAGUGAUGCUCAAGUCUUGGAUCUCCUCCAUUGAGGUGAGAUUUCCCAACUGACGGCAAUAUUUUCACUGGAGGGUUAAGCACCAGUUUCAGCAACACUACUGUUUAUUCUUAUUAGAGGUGUUCAUGGGCCGGGUCGGGUCGAGCUCAAAAAAAUUUAGCCUGGUUAUUAGGUUUGGGCCUGG
rnacentral:lncRNA from 1 species